CGGAUAAAAGGUACUCCGGGGAUAACAGGCUGAUACCGCCCAAGAGUUCAUAUCGACGGCGGUGUUUGGCACCUCGAUGUCGGCUCAUCACAUCCUGGGGCUGAAGUCGGUCCCAAGGGUAUGGCUGUUCGCCAUUUAAAGUGGUACGCGAGCUGGGUUUAGAACGUCGUGAGACAGUUCGGUCCCUAUCUGCCGUGGGCGUUGGAGAAUUGAAAGGGGCUGCUCCUAGUACGAGAGGACCGGAGUGGACGAACCUCUGGUGUUCGGGUUGUGUCGCCAGACGCAUUGCCCGGUAGCUAAGUUCGGGAUCGAUAACCGCUGAAAGCAUCUAAGCGGGAAGCGAGCCUUGAGAUGAGUUCUCCCUGAUACUUUAAGUAUCCUAAAGGGUUGUCGUAGACUACGACGUUGAUAGGCAGGGUGUGUAAGCGUUGUGAGGCGUUGAGCUAACCUGUACUAAUUGCCCGUGAGGCUUAACCAU
rnacentral:rRNA from 1 species